ACGGGUGAGUAACGCGUGGGAAUCUACCGUGCCCUGCGGAAUAGCUCCGGGAAACUGGAAUUAAUACCGCAUACGCCCUACGGGGGAAAGAUUUAUCGGGGUAUGAUGAGCCCGCGUUGGAUUAGCUAGUUGGUGGGGUAAAGGCCUACCAAGGCGACGAUCCAUAGCUGGUCUGAGAGGAUGAUCAGCCACAUUGGGACUGAGACACGGCCCAAACUCCUACGGGAGGCAGCAGUGGGGAAUAUUGGACAAUGGGCGCAAGCCUGAUCCAGCCAUGCCGCGUGAGUGAUGAAGGCCUUAGGGUUGUAAAGCUCUUUCACCGGAGAAGAUAAUGACGGUAUCCGGAGAAGAAGCCCCGGCUAACUUCGUGCCAGCAGCCGCGGUAAUACGAAGGGGGCUAGCGUUGUUCGGAAUUACUGGGCGUAAAGCGCGCGUAGGCGGAUAUUUAAGUCAGGGGUGAAAUCCCAGAGCUCAACUCUGGAACUGCCUUCGAUACUGGGUAUCUUGAGUAUGGAAGAGGUAAGUGGAAUUCCGAGUGUAGAGGUGAAAUUCGUAGA
rnacentral:rRNA from 1 species